AGAGCUUAGCAGUGAAUAUAGCAAGAGAGUAUGACUAGCAUAGCAACCCCUUGUAACAGGUUCCCCCGAUAAGAGACGGCACUCCAAACUGAUAGUGAAGUAGAACUAAAGCUUUUAAUCAAACACUCUGCUUUUAUGCCCAUUCUACAACCAUAGUACCGCCCACAGGGUUUUGAAGUACAACCAAUCAAUACGUACAAUACACUCAGACACUCCCACACAAAAUCCUCCCCUCUGCCUGUGAUAUAAUUACUGAACACAAUGGGUUAAUGUAAUUA